ensembl:lncRNA KRT10-AS1 KRT10 antisense RNA 1
GCCGCCGAAACUUCCGCCGCCGCGUCCGCCGCCUCCGGAACUAAACGGGGUGAGGUCACAUUCGGUUAUCUCUAACGUUGGAAAACGCCCCACUGUAACUGCCCUAAUCUGAGCUUUCACCACUUUUCUCGAAGAUUACUUCACCAGCUUCUGAAGUGGUUUUCUUGACUCAGCACUGUCAAUUAAGAUCUGUUCACUGCGGCAGGGUUGAUGUUCUUGAAACAGUACUGUCAUCACUUCAUCAACAUACUCGGACCUCUUGUGGAUGGAUUAAGUCUUCUCCAUAACCUUGCCCGACUCUGUCUGUCCAACCUCAUGCUCCCUGCGAUGGAGCUAACACCCAUUAUGGAGAUUAACCACUUUUCAUCAGGUUUUUAACUUAAGUCGUGAGGAAUACAACGGUGAACACAAGAUUCAUUUUAUUUUCAUCACCAUGGGACGUAUCCUGUUGUUGAGUUCUCUGGGUCAGACCUCUGAAGACUUCUCAGAUGGAUCCUAGUCUCUGGGCUUGCCCUGAAAUUACUCGCUGCUCAGGGAGAGAGUUGAAAUGGUUGGCAUCCUCCCACUCUGUUGCUCCGGCUGUGUCCCCUCGCUCUGUUGUUCCAGCUAUGUGCCCUCUGUUGCUCCAACUGCAGCUCAUUCUGUUAGAGUUCCUCAUUCAGCUGGUCACUGUGGCCAGAGGGUGUUGGCCUGCUCCCUUCCUCAAGUAUUCUUAAAGCCAUGGAUUUUUGUGGAGCAUUUUUCUUCCUGGCUCUCCCUUGAGUUAUUUUCCUUUCUUCGCUAUCUUGGGACUCUUCUUUGUGCUUGCGGUCAUCGGUUGAGAGAAGGACUUCUUCUUCCUUGUCUCCUUGGUGUUGGCUCGUGGUUGCUCUUCAACAACUGGACUGGAGGCUCUUGGUUUUCUCUUCAUCUUCAACAAGUCAGUCUCUCUCAAGGGUCUCACGUUGCAGCAUUCUUACCAGAGGCCAUUGGGCCUGGAGUUCCAGUUCCAGUGUCUGGAGAGUCCACCUCAGCUCAGCAAUCUCAUGCCGGUUGGCAAUUGUCAGCAGAAGCCGAUGCCUGCCCAUCAGUUCUUUACUCUGAGGUGUUAGAGUGGAAUAAAAAUAUAAAUACUUAUACUAGUUUUCAUGACUUCUGCUUAAUAUUGGGUAUUUUUUUGUUUUGUUUUGUUUUGGCGGUGAUAGGCUUACCUUACAUUAAACCAGGCCUUAGCCUUUCUGUGGCUUUGUUAUGGCAAAGCCUCAUAUUACUCUCUAGUCUGGUUCAGCAGGACAGUCAGGUCCACACCUGGGGCUGUUUGUUUUCUACGUUUACCUCAACAUAAGGUACCUUAUCAUUGUCAGCCUUCAUCUCCUGAUCCAAAAUAAAAUAAAAUGCCACAGGUUACUUGAUUUUGCAUCUGGAAUAUGAUUAUUUAAAGAAAUUAAAAAUUUAAAACUGAAAAUGUAGAGUUUAGAAAUCUUUUUUAAGGUUUCAAAAAAAUUUCUAGGAGACAACAAAAUAGUGUUACUAGAUUUAGCAAAUAAAAUACAGAAUGCCAAUUAAAUUUGAAUUUCAAAUGAACAUUGAAUACUUUUUUUGGUAUAACUAUAUUCCAUGCAAUAUUUGGGACAUAUCUGUUAUAUUAUUCAUUGUUUACCUGAAAUUAUAAUUUAAACUGAGAGUUCUGUAUUUUAUCUGGCAACCUUAUUAUGAAAAUAUUUAGGAUCAAUAUAAAGGAAUAAUAUUUUUAAUUUUUACAAACUAUUUUAAUAUAAGUAAUUUAUUUGAUUUUCAUUGUCAUCCUGAGAGUUAAGUUUUGCCUUACAGUCUAUGUUACUUUACCUGUGUUUUAUGAAAAGACUGUCUCUUAUAAUGAUAGCCACCACCACCAUAUCUUGACAAGUAUUGACAUACUGAAACUUUAAAUUCAUUUUGUGUAGUUCCCGCCUCUUCAUGAUUGUUUCUGAGGUAAUUCAGCUUCUCCGUCUGGCUUUCCAUUUUCAACUCUAGGUUAGUCUUGUUCAAAGUCAACUCAUCUAAGACACUUCGCAGGCCCUUGCUAUCAGCCUCAACACAGUGAUAAAGGACAACUUUACUCUGGCAUCUGAACAGAGCCCAAUUGGAAGAAUCAAUACAGCUUAGAUGGAGGUCUCCUCAUCCAGUGGUAAUAAAACAUCCCACAUAGUGGAGCUUAGAGAGCACAGCACUGGGAUGUGAAGACAUGGGUUCAAAUUGCACCUCUGCCAUGUUCAGCUGUCACCUUGGGCAAAUUACUUCUCUGAACCUUAGUUUUCUCAUCAUUAAAAUGGGAAUAU